CUUGUAUGAUGGUUAGACAAGAGAAAAGCUGUCUUCUGAAAUAAAAAUUGAAUUUAACUUUCAAGUGAAAAGGCUUGAGUGUUUAAAAGGGACGAUAAGACCCUAUGAAGCUUAAAUACAAUAUUUAAUAUUUAAUAGAGUUAAAGAUAUAAGAAUUUUAUUUUAAAUGUGUAUUUCGUUGGGGUGACGUGAAUAUAAUUAGAAUUGUAACUGUUCAAUAAUAAAAUACAUAUAAUAGAUGAUUAAGUUGUAAUAGAUCCUUAGUAAAGAUAAAAGGUUAAGUUACUCUAGGGAUAACAGCGUUAUUUCUUUUAAGAGUUCAUAUCAAAAAAGAAGUUUGCGACCUCGAUGUUGAAUUAAAAUGUCUUUAUAGUGCAGCCGCUAUAAAAGAAGGUCUGUUCGACCUUUAAAUUUUUACGUGAUCUGAGUUCAGACCGG
rnacentral:rRNA from 1 species